UACGUAGAGUGCAAGCGUUGUCCGGAAUUAUUGGGCGUAAAGAGCUCGUAGGCGGUUUGUUGCGUCGGCUGUGAAAACCCGGGGCUCAACUCCGGGGCCUGCAGCCGAUACGGGCAGACUAGAGUUCGGCAGGGGAGACUGGAAUUCCUGGUGUAGCGGUGAAAUGCGCAGAUAUCAGGAGGAACACCGGUGGCGAAGGCGGGUCUCUGGGCCGAUACUGACGCUGAGGAGCGAAAGCGUGGGGGAGCGAACAGG
rnacentral:rRNA from 1 species